GAAGCGGCAAGAGCUCAAAUUUGAAAUCUGGCCUCCCUUGGGGGGUCCGAGUUGUAAUUUGUAGAGGAUGCUUCGGGUGUGGCCGCCGUCUAAGUUCCUUGGAACAGGACGUCGUAGAGGGUGAGAAUCCCGUCUUGGGCGGCCGGUCCGCGCCCGUGUGAAGCUCCUUCGACGAGUCGAGUUGUUUGGGAAUGCAGCUCUAAGCGGGUGGUAAAUUUCAUCUAAAGCUAAAUACUGGCCGGAGACCGAUAGCGCACAAGUAGAGUGAUCGAAAGGUUAAAAGCACCUUGAAAAGGGAGUUAAACAGCACGUGAAAUUGUUGAAAGGGAAGCGCUUGCGGCCAGACUCGAGGGGCGGGGUUCAGCGGGUGCGCGUCACCCGUGCACUCCCCGUCCCCCCGGGCCAGCAUCAGUUUCGACGGCCGGUCAAAGGCCCCCGGAAUGUGUCGUCUCUAGGGACGUCUUAUAGCCGGGGGUGCAAUGCGGCCCGCCGGGACUGAGGAACGCGCUCCGGCUCGGAUGC
rnacentral:rRNA from 1 species